GUCAAGUGAAGAAGCGCAUACGGUGGAUGCCUUGGCAGUCAGAGGAGAUGAAAGACGUGGUAGCCUGCGAUAAGCUUCGGGGAGUCGGCAAACAGACUUUGAUCCGGAGAUGUCUGAAUGGGGGAACCCAGCCAUCAUAAGAUGGUUACCUUACACUGAAUACAUAGGUGUAUGGAGCGAACCAGGGGAACUGAAACAUCUAAGUACCCUGAGGAAAAGAAAUCAACCGAGAUUCCCUUAGUAGUGGCGAGCGAACGGGGACUAGCCCUUAAGCUUCUUUGAUUUUAGCGGAACGCUCUGGAAAGUGCGGCCAUAGUGGGUGAUAGCCCCGUACACGAAAAUCUCUUGCCAGUGAAAUCGAGUAGGACGGAGCACGAGAAACUUUGUCUGAAUAUGGGGGGACCAUCCUCCAAGGCUAAAUACUACUGACUGACCGAUAGUGAACUAGUACCGUGAGGGAAAGGCGAAAAGAACCCCGGCGAGGGGAGUGAAACAGAACCUGAAACCGUGUACGUACAAGCAGUGGGAGC
rnacentral:rRNA from 1 species